AGAGUUUGAUCCUGGCUCAGGAUGAACGCUAGCGACAGGCUUAACACAUGCAAGUCGAGGGGCAGCACAGGUAGCAAUACCGGGUGGCGACCGGCGCACGGGUGAGUAACGCGUAUGCAACUUACCUAUCAGAGGGGGAUAACCCGGCGAAAGUCGGACUAAUACCGCAUGAAGCAGGGGCCCCGCAUGGGGAUAUUUGCUAAAGAUUCAUCGCUGAUAGAUAGGCAUGCGUUCCAUUAGGCAGUUGGCGGGGUAACGGCCCACCAAACCGACGAUGGAUAGGGGUUCUGAGAGGAAGGUCCCCCACAUUGGUACUGAGACACGGACCAAACUCCUACGGGAGGCAGCAGUGAGGAAUAUUGGUCAAUGGGCGUAAGCCUGAACCAGCCAAGUCGCGUGAGGGAUGAAGGUUCUAUGGAUCGUAAACCUCUUUUAUAAGGGAAUAAAGUGCGGGACGUGUCCCGUUUUGUAUGUACCUUAUGAAUAAGGAUCGGCUAACUCCGUGCCAGCAGCCGCGGUAAUACGGAGGAUCCGAGCGUUAUCCGGAUUUAUUGGGUUUAAAGGGUGCGUAGGCGGCCUUUUAAGUCAGCGGUGAAAGUCUGUGGCUCAACCAUAGAAUUGCCGUUGAAACUGGGGGGCUUGAGUAUGUUUGAGGCAGGCGGAAUGCGUGGUGUAGCGGUGAAAUGCUUAGAUAUCACGCAGAACCCCGAUUGCGAAGGCAGCCUGCCAAGCCAUGACUGACGCUGAUGCACGAAAGCGUGGGGAUCAAACAGGAUUAGAUACCCUGGUAGUCCACGCAGUAAACGAUGAUCACUAGCUGUUUGCGAUACAGUGUAAGCGGCACAGCGAAAGCGUUAAGUGAUCCACCUGGGGAGUACGCCGGCAACGGUGAAACUCAAAGGAAUUGACGGGGGCCCGCACAAGCGGAGGAACAUGUGGUUUAAUUCGAUGAUACGCGAGGAACCUUACCCGGGUUUGAACGCAUUCGGACCGAGGUGGAAACACCUUUUCUAGCAAUAGCCGUUUGCGAGGUGCUGCAUGGUUGUCGUCAGCUCGUGCCGUGAGGUGUCGGCUUAAGUGCCAUAACGAGCGCAACCCUUGCCACUAGUUACUAACAGGUAAAGCUGAGGACUCUGGUGGGACUGCCAGCGUAAGCUGCGAGGAAGGCGGGGAUGACGUCAAAUCAGCACGGCCCUUACAUCCGGGGCGACACACGUGUUACAAUGGCGUGGACAAAGGGAUGCCACCUGGCGACAGGGAGCGAAUCCCCAAACCACGUCUCAGUUCGGAUCGGAGUCUGCAACCCGACUCCGUGAAGCUGGAUUCGCUAGUAAUCGCGCAUCAGCCAUGGCGCGGUGAAUACGUUCCCGGGCCUUGUACACACCGCCCGUCAAGCCAUG
rnacentral:rRNA from 1 species